AUUGAACGCUGGCGGCAGGCCUAACACAUGCAAGUCGAACGAGUGGCGGACGGGUGAGUAAUGUCUGGGAAACUGCCUGAUGGAGGGGGAUAACUACUGGAAACGGUCGCUAAUACCGCAUACCAUCGGAUGUGCCCAGAUGGGAUUAGCUAGUAGGUGGGGUAAUGGCUCACCUAGGCGACGAUACCUAGCUGGUCUGAGCGGAUGACCAGCAAGGCUGGAACUGGGACACGGGCCAGACUCCUACGGGAGGCAGCAGUGGGGAAUAUUGCACAAUGGGCGCAAGCCUGAUGCAGCCAUGCCGCGUGUAUGAAGAAGGCCUUCGGGUUGUAAAGUACUUUCAGCGGGGAGGCGUUACCCGCAGAAGAAGCACCGGCUAACUCCGUGCCAGCAGCCGCGGUAAUUC
rnacentral:rRNA from 1 species